rnacentral:rRNA from 1 species
AUUGAACGCUGGCGGCAUGCCUUACACAUGCAAGUCGAACGGCAGCACGGGAGCAAUCCUGGUGGCGAGUGGCGAACGGGUGAGUAAUAUAUCGGAACGUGCCCAGUCGUGGGGAUAACGUAGCGAAAGCUACGCUAAUACCGCAUACGAUCUAUGGAUGAAAGCGGGGGAUCGCAAGACCCCGCGCGAUUGGAGCGGCCGAUAUCAGAUUAGGUAGUUGGUGAGGUAAAGGCUCACCAAGCCGACGAUCUGUAGCUGGUCUGAGAGGACGACCAGCCACACUGGGACUGAGACACGGCCCAGACUCCUACGGGAGGCAGCAGUGGGGAAUAUUGGACAAUGGGCGCAAGCCUGAUCCAGCCAUGCCGCGUGAGUGAUGAAGGCCCUAGGGUUGUAAAGCUCUUUCACCGGUGAAGAUAAUGACGGUAACCGGAGAAGAAGCCCCGGCUAACCUUCGUGCCAGCAGCCGCGGU